rnacentral:rRNA from 1 species
UACGUAGGGGGCUAGCGUUGUCCGGAAUCAUUGGGCGUAAAGCGCGUGUAGGCGGUCCGGUAAGUCCGCUGUGAAAGUCGAGGGCUCAACCCUCGAAUGCCGGUGGAUACUGUCGGGCUUGAGUACGGGAGAGGCGAGUGGAAUUCCUGGUGUAGCGGUGAAGUGCGCAGAUAUCAGGAGGAACACCGAUGGCGAAGGCAGGUCUCUGGGCAUUAACUGACGCUGAGGAGCGAAAGCAUGGGGAGCGAACAGG